rnacentral:lncRNA from 1 species
GUUUCUUGUAACCAUCAAAACUGUAUUUGUCAUCGAAAAGUUUCUCUUCAGGUUCUUCUCUUAACGAUUUCUUAAACCAAUUGUUUCCAAAAACAUUCUCUAACCGGAUACGGGUUUUCGGAUUCGGAUCAAGUAAUUGAUAGAUUAGGUACCGCGCCGGUUUCGAAAUCCAUUCCGGAAACUGAUAAUCCCGGCGAGUUAUUCUCUUACACAUCGCCGGAAUAUUCGAAUCAUCGAACGGAAGAUGACCGGCGAGAAGAACGUAGAGGAUAACACCACAAGACCAGGCAUCAGCUUUAGAUCCGUCGUAUCCAAUCCGGCCGAGAAUCUCCGGCGCGGUGUACGCCGGCGUACCACAAGCUGUAUGCAGAAGACCGUUUUUGAGCUGCUCCGGCAACGCCGAGAGACCGAAAUCGGAAACCUUGAGAUUACCUUC